rnacentral:rRNA from 1 species
UACGUAGGCAGCGAGCGUUGUUCGGAGUUACUGGGCGUAAAGGGUGUGUAGGCGGUUUUCUAAGUUUGGUGUGAAAUCUCCCGGCUCAACCGGGAGGGUGCGCCGAAAACUGGGAGACUAGAGUGCGGGAUGGGAGAGUAGAAUUCCUGGUGUAGCGGUGAAAUGCGUAGAUAUCGGAAGGAACACCAGUGGCGAAAAGCGGCUUCCUGGUCCAGCACCGACGUUCAGGCACGAAAGCGUGGGGAGCAAACAGG